AUUGAACGCUGGCGGCAUGCCUUACACGUGCAAGUCGAACGGUAACAGGUCUUCGGAUGCUGACGAGUGGCGAACGGGUGAGUAAUGCAUCGGAACGUGCCCAGUUGUGGGGGAUAACUGCUCGAAAGAGCAGCUAAUACCGCAUACGACCUGAGGGUGAAAGCGGGGGAUCGCAAGACCUCGCGCAAUUGGAGCGGCCGAGGUCAGAUUAGGUAGUUGGUGGGGUAAAGGCCUACCAAGCCGACGAUCUGUAGUUGGUCUGAGAGGACGACCAGCCACACUGGGACUGAGACACGGCCCAGACUCCUACGGGAGGCAGCAGUGGGGAAUUUUGGACAAUGGGCGCAAGCCUGAUCCAGCAAUGCCGCGUGCAGGAAGAAGGCCUUCGGGUUGUAAACUGCUUUUGUCAGGGAAGAAAUCUUCUGGGUUAAUACCCCGGGAGGAUGACGGUACCUGAAGAAUAAGCACCGGCUAACUACGUGCCAGCCGCCGCAGUAAUAC
rnacentral:rRNA from 1 species